rnacentral:rRNA from 1 species
CCUACGGGAGGCAUCAGUGAGGAAUAUUGGUCAAUGGGCUUACGCCUGAACCAGCCAAGUCGCGUGAGGGAAGACUGCCCUAUGGGUUGUAAACCUCUUUUGUCAGGGAGCAACGCCGGCUACGUGUAGCCGUACUGAGAGUACCUGAAGAAAAGGCAUCGGCUAACUCCGUGCCAGCAGCCGCGGUAAUACGGAGGAUGCGAGCGUUAUCCGGAUUUAUUGGGUUUAAAGGGUGCGUAGGCGGAAUGCCAAGUCAGCGGUAAAAUCGCGGGGCUCAACCUCGCUCCGCCGUUGAAACUGGCGUUCUUGAGUGGGCGAGAAGUAUGCGGAAUGCGUGGUGUAGCGGUGAAAUGCAUAGAUAUCACGCAGAACUCCGAUUGCGAAGGCAGCAUACCGGCGCCCAACUGACGCUGAAGCACGAAAGCGUGGGUAUCGAACAGGAUUAGAUACCCGGGUAGUC